AACGUAGGAGGCGAGCGUUAUCCGGAAUCACUGGGCGUAAAGGGCGUUUAGGCGGUGGCGUAAGUCUGACGUGAAAGCCGCGGGCUCAACUCGCGGAGGCCGUUGGAGACUGCGCGACUGGAGGGUCGCAGAGGGGCGUGGAAUUCCCGGUGUAGUGGUGAAAUGCGUAGAGAUCGGGAGGAACACCCGUGGCGGAGGCGACGCCCUGGGCGACAACUGACGCUGAAGCGCGAAAGCGUGGGGAGCAAACGGG
rnacentral:rRNA from 1 species